CUCGGCGUUUUGUGGGUUUCGGACACCCUAGGCCUGAGAGAUUCCAGAAGUUUGGGGUGCUUAGAGCUGACUUUCAGGGGAUCCUGGCGGCUGAGCCCGUCAAGCUCCAAGGUUUUUAAUUUUGCAGAAUAUCGUGUGGCUUCAUCCCCAGUGUCAGACGCAGCCCAAGUGCGUGGUAGGAGAUGCGGAAAGGAGCAGCUGGGAGGACGCUUCCACUUUUUUUUUUUUCAGCUCCCAGACAAAUGGCACCGGGUCCAGUGUCCUCUGCCCGUGCCAGCUGAGAGGUCAGCGACCAGAAAGCACUACUUCAGGGAACAAGCGCGGCAGUGUGCAGCGCAUGAAAGACCUUAUUCAUGUAACAGCCUGGAGGGGCUUGUACUGCAUUGUCUGGUAUGCAUUAGCUUUGUGAAAUUAGUCCUCCAAAUUUUUUACAAAAGGAAAGAAAGAAAGUUUGCCUUCCCUUCUGCAUUUACUCUUCCCAAUGAGCCGUCCAAAAGAUUUAUUUGUUGGUCUCGUGCUUAGGAGUCCACUGGCAAAAUGUUUGGGGGGAGUGUGCUGUGGAUAGCCCUGCAAAAAUGUAGCAGUGCAUCAGAAUUUAACUCUGAGGCACGGAAAAUUCAGCCUACACAAGAGGGAGAAGGAAGAAUCUCCGGUCAAAAACAUCAUUCUUUCUGUUCUCCCAUGUGUGCCUACAAUUUUGAAGAUGACCAUAUUAGAUAUCAUUGAAUGUUGCCUGAGCAGAAAAAAAAAAAAAAAAAAGACCACAGGAUCCUGUAAUCAUCGCACUGCUGUUUAAUUUAACUUGCCCUUGAAAGGACAGAAGCUCUUUUUUGGCACCGUGCAUGUCAUUACUCAUGUGCUAAUGGUUUGGGGAUGCUUUAUGUGUAGCACAGUCCUGUUCUGAGUUAAAGGGGACCCCUUCAAAUUCCCAGGUGUACUUCAUGAUAAAAAUCCCCUCUUGGGUUAUGACAAGGCUGACCCUUUGGGGUCGUCCUUCCAUAAAUGCUCCCGUACCCUGCCUGCAAAGCACAUGCUGCCCACUGAAAUGACCGUAAAGGCAGCAAAAUCCGAUACCCUUUUCACAGGUAUCAUUUGAAUUCCUUGUAAACCUUCUAUAGAUAGAAUUUCCUUUUACCAGUCCAAAAGCUCCACAGCGGGAGGUUUUUCUGAAAGAAAAAUAGGUCUGGUCAUGUGGGAAUUGGUCUCAUACCCAGGAUUAUUGGGCUUUGGGGUCUGUUGCAUUCUUUUUCUAAGGCCAAAGCCAGCCUUAUAACUGUUUAUAGUUUGUUUACAAUGAGGUUCUCUCGUCCCUGCAGGACAACGGUCCUUACCAUGUUUUCUGGCCAACACACUUCGUGUCCUAUUACAUUUACUAAAUUUAGAGGAUGAUUUCCUAAAUAUACAAGUAAUAAUAGUAAUUAAUUGCAUCCUUUGGGCCAGUAUAACCUCAGUAAGUUGCAGUGGACGAUCUGGACCUAUAGCUAACUGCUUUAUGCCUCUCUAAUUACAUGAAGCAGCUCUAGUCUCAACAGAUUCGGUCAGCGGGGUAUUUCUACCUGCCGUGGAGUCUCCCCAAGCCACG